rnacentral:tRNA from 1 species
GUGGCUAUAGUGUAAUGGCAGCACAGGACCCUGUGAAGGUCUUAGUACGGGUUCAAAUCCCGUUAGUCACCCCA